AGGUUCGGGUCCAUUCCAUCAGCUCAGUUUUGGUUGUUGAUGGAAAGCUCCGAGUCUCC
rnacentral:pre_miRNA from 1 species